rnacentral:rRNA from 1 species
AUUGAACGCUGGCGGCAGGCCUAACACAUGCAAGUCGAACGAGUGGCGGACGGGUGAGUAAUGUCUGGGAAACUGCCUGAUGGAGGGGGAUAACUACUGGAACCGGUAGCUAAUACCGCAUACCAUCAGAUGUGCCCAGAUGGGAUUAGCUAGUUGGUGGGGUAACGGCUCACCAAGGCGACGAUCCCUAGCUGGUCUGAGAGGAUGACCAGCCACACUGGAACGGAGAAACGGGCCAGAAGCCUACGGGAGGCAGAAGUGGGGAAUAGUGCACAAUGGGCGAAAGCCUGAUGCAGCCAUGCGGCGUGUAUGAAGAAGGCCUUCGGGUUGUAAAGUACUUUCAGCGGGGAGGCGUUACCCGCAGAAGAAGCACCGGCUAACUCCGUGGCAGCAGCCGCGGUAAUAC